rnacentral:rRNA from 1 species
UACAGAGGGUGCGAGCGUUGUCCGGAAUCACUGGGCGUAAAGGGCGCGUAGGCGGCCUGAUAAGUAGGGGGUGAAAUCCUGCGGCUCAACCGCAGGGCUGCCUUCUAAACUGUCAGGCUGGAGCACGGUAGAGGCAGAUGGAAUUCCCGGUGUAGCGGUGGAAUGCGUAGAGAUCGGGAAGAACACCAGUGGCGAAGGCGGCCUGCUGGGCUAUGGCUGACACUGAGGCGCGACAGCGUGGGGAGCAAACAGG